rnacentral:rRNA from 1 species
UACGAAGGGGGCUAGCGUUGCUCGGAAUUACUGGGCGUAAAGGGCGCGUAGGCGGACAGUUUAGUCAGAGGUGAAAGCCCAGGGCUCAACCUUGGAAUUGCCUUUGAUACUGGCUGUCUUGAGUUCGGGAGAGGUGAGUGGAAUGCCGAGUGUAGAGGUGAAAUUCGUAGAUAUUCGCAAGAACACCAGUGGCGAAGGCGACUUACUGGACACAUAUUGACGCUGAGGUGCGAAAGCGUGGGGAGCAAACAGG